rnacentral:rRNA from 1 species
UACGUAGGGUGCAAGCGUUGUCCGGAAUUAUUGGGCGUAAAGAGCUCGUAGGCGGUUUGUCGCGUCGCAUGUGAAAUCCCGGGGCUCAACCCCGGGUCUGCAUUCGAUACGGGCAGACUAGAGUUCGGUAGGGGAGUCUGGAAUUCCUGGUGUAGCGGUGAAAUGCGCAGAUAUCAGGAGGAACACCGGUGGCGAAGGCGGGACUCUGGGCCGAUACUGACGCUGAGGAGCGAAAGCGUGGGGAGCGAACAGG